rnacentral:lncRNA from 1 species
GAAUGUAACCAAUGUGGUGAAACUUUUAACAGACCUUCAAAGGUUAUUCAACAUCAGAGCAUGCACAGUGGACUGAAGCCAUACAAAUGUGAUGUAUGUCAAAAGGCCUUUAGGUUUCUCUCAUCCCUCUCUAUACAUCAGAGAUUUCAUGUUGGCAAGAAGCCCUUUUCCUGUAACUUUUGUGGAAAAACCUUUCACCGUUUCUCAGAAAAAACUCAACAUCUAUUAAUUCAUACUAGAAAGAAAUAUUAUACAUGUAAUUAUUGCAAAAAGGAAUUCAAUCCGUACUCCAAAUUUAUUCUACAUCAAAGAACUCAUACAGGAGAGAAACCCCACAAGUGUGAUGUUUGUGAGAAAUCCUUUAAAAGCAUCUCAAAUCUUAAUAAACAUCAGAAAACUCAUACUGGAGAGAAGCCCUUUUCAUGUAAUGAAUGUAAAAAAACCUUUGCCCAGCGCACGGAUCUUGCUCGCCACCAACAAAUCCAUACCGGAAAGAAGUCUUUUAUUUGCAGUAGUUGUAAAAAGACCUUUGUCCGUCUGUCAGAUCUAACACAACAUAAAGGAACUCAUACGGGAGAGAGACCUUACCAAUGUACGACUUGUGAAAAAGCCUUUAAAUAUCGGUCAAACUUUACUAAACAUCAGAAAACUCAUUCUAUAGGGAGGCCCUUUGCAUGUAAUGAAUGUGGAAAGACCUAUCGCCUUAACUGGGAACUUAACCAACAUAAAAAAAUUCAUACUGGAGAGAAACCCUAUGAAUGUGGUGAAUGUGGAAAGCGUUUUAACAAUAAUUCAAAUCUUAAUAAACACAAGAAAAUCCAUACAGGAGAGAAACACUUUGUAUGUAAUCAAUGUGGAAAAGCUUUUAGCUUAAACUCAAAGCUUUCUCGACAUCAGAGAACUCACAGAGAGAAGCCCUUUCCAUGUAAUGAAUGUAAGAAAGCCUUUGCCCAGCGCAUGGAUCUUGCUCGCCACCAACAAAUCCAUACUGGAAGGAAACCUUUUAUUUGCAGUAGUUGUAAAAAAACCUUUGUCCGUCUGUCAGAUCUAACACAACAUAAAGGAACUCAUACAGGAGAGAGACCUUACCAAUGUACAACUUGUGAAAAAGCCUUUAAAUAUCAGUCAAACUUUACUAAACAUCAGAAAACCCAUUCUAUAGGGAGGCCCUUUACAUGUAAUGAAUGUGGAAAGACCUUUCGCCUUAACUGGAAACUUAAUCAACAUAAAAAAAUUCAUACUGGAGAGAAACCCUAUGAAUGUGGUGAAUGUGGAAAAUGUUUUAACAAUAAUUCAAAUCUUAGUAAACACAAGAAAAUCCAUACAGGA